AUGACAGCAGUGACCAUCUACUCGUCGCACACAGGAGCCUGGAGUCGCAAGGAUGUUGCGCUGGUUGAGAAAGUUGCACUGUUCUUCUGUAGUAAAUGUGUCUUUGUAGGUGGUAUGAUGUACGUGAUUGGCAACCCGAGGUACAUUAACGAGUAUGUUAUGGUGGUGGUGGGAGUGAACAUGGAGGGGAAAGUGUGGGAGACUAUCCGCGUGCCGUAUGGUUCGAGAUUUGGUACGAUUGGGUCGUCGCAGGGGUGCUUACACUAUGCUAUAGCUUCUGUUGAUGAUAACAAUAACAUCAUACUUUCUGAGAUAGAACUCUGGUGCCUCAAGGAUCGUGAUAGUAAAGAAUUGGUCCUGAAGCAUACUGCCAGCAUCAAUUAG
rnacentral:rRNA from 1 species